rnacentral:rRNA from 1 species
AAUCUUCCACAAUGGACGAAAGUCUGAUGGAGCAACGCCGCGUGAGCGAAGAAGGUUNNNGGAUCNUAAAGCUCUGUUGCGAGNGAANAACAAGUACGGGAGUAACUGCCCGUACCUUGACGGUACCUCGUCAGAAAGCCACGGCUAACUACUUGCCAGCAGCAGCGGUAAUACGUAGGUGGCAAGCGUUGUCCGGAAUUAUUGGGCGUAAAGCGCGCGCAGGCGGUCCUUUAAGUCUGAUGUGAAAGCCCACGGCUCAACCGUGGAGGGUCAUUGGAAACUGGAGGACUUGAGUACAGAAGAGGAAAGCGGAAUUCCACGUGUAGCGGUGAAAUGCGUAGAGAUGUGGAGGAACACCAGUGGCGAAGGCGGCUUUCUGGUCUGUAACUGACGCUGAGGCGCGAAAGUGUGGGGAGCAAACA